UGAUUUGACAGCUGGUCUUGAGCAUCCAAGCACACAGAGCUGAUUUUCCAAGAUAACCAGUACAUGUCAGCUAAAAAAAGAAGACUGAACACUCUACUCUUGAAGGCAAAGGAAUUAUGAGAAUAUCAAAUCACAUAGACCUAAAGACAUUGUCAAAGACUCACAUCAACCAAGGUAUACUCCACUGCUAUGCUGAGUACAGAGACAUUCUUUUAACCCACGAACCACCAACCAUUUUUACCAGUGGCUUCACCUGCGAGGAGAUGGGAGCACUUCUAGGGAAAAGGAGUGGCAAGAUUAGAUGACAGAAGACUUCUCUCAGGUUGGGGAACUGGUGUUCAAAUUCUUGAUUCCAGGAAGACACAAUGAACUAUUCACAGAAUGUCUGUGAAAGGGAAAUGCAAAAUAAAAGGGAUAUUCAAUGGAGCUUGAAAUCAGGCUCUCUCCAGCAAGGCUGCUGCCCUGCCAAUCACCUUCGAUUUGUAGUGAUUCCCUGACUUGUUCUGCAUUGUGUGUUUGAAGGGAGUAUGAGAAUAUGAACAGCAAUAACUGUAUCAGUGUCUGCCACUUGGAAGCGGGAGAUGUUUUCAGUCCCUU